GUGCUCACUUCAGCAGCACAUAUACUAAAAUUGGAACAGUUCCGAGAUUAUCAUGGCCCUCGCACAAGGAUGACACGCACAUUCAUGAGGAAUUCCAUAUUUUA